rnacentral:rRNA from 1 species
GUGGGGAAUAUUGGACAAUGGGCGAAAGCCUGAUCCAGCCAUGCCGCGUGUGUGAAGAAGGUCUUCGGAUUGUAAAGCACUUUAAGUUGGGAGGAAGGGCAGUAAGUUAAUACCUUGCUGUUUUGACGUUACCGACAGAAUAAGCACCGGCUAACUUCGUGCCAGCAGCCGCGGUAAUACGAAGGGUGCAAGCGUUAAUCGGAAUUACUGGGCGUAAAGCGCGCGUAGGUGGUUUUGUAAGUUGGAGGUGAAAUCCCCGGGCUCAACCUGGGAACUGCACUUGUGACUGCAAGGCUAGAGUGUGGCAGAGGGAGGUGGAAUUCCGCGUGUAGCAGUGAAAUGCGUAGAUAUAGGAAGGAACACCAGUGGCGAAGGCGACUACCUGGACUGAUACUGACACUGAGGUGCGAAAGCGUGGGGAGCAAACAGGAUUAGAAACCCCGGUAGUCC